GAACCGUGAAAAAUCUUUAUGGAACUCUUUCAACCCUCUCUCUUUGCUCGUUGUGGUACUUAACGUCUACAAUGAAUGAUACACAUGUAAAAGGCAAACGACAACAGUGCUCAUUAAUUAGAGCACAUGAUAUGAAUUUGUAAGAAGAUUGAGGCUAUGAGGAUUCAUAUGGUAACCAGGACUCCAUGCUGCUGCACAAAUUGCCUGGCAGGAGGGAUAUGGUGCAUGAGAGUCCAAAUCUUCCAGCUGGAGAACAAGGUGCUGCCUGGCUUUCCAUGGGCUUGCAGAGUGGACCUCUAUGGCCAGAUUGGAUUUGAUGCUGCAGCUCAGUGUAUCUGUUGAAAAAAAAGGAUGUCUCCAGAAAGUCAAUGAGUCCUAUAAAGAAAAUUGUAGCAGACAUUUUCUGAAGAAAAACUAAUGUGUCAAAGGCCUCCUUCAGGUUGGACCCCAGGCUUCUCCUACUUCCUGUCCAAGUGGAGCAAAUGCAGCUCAGCUGGUUCCUGAGUUGCUACUGCCCCACCCCUAUGUCCACGUGCUGGUCUAAGAAGAGGGCAGGGAUAUUGAGAAAGUAACAGAGAAGGAGCAACAGUGACCAUCUCUGCCCAAGUGUGAAGGCCUCCCUGGCCCUCCAAAGAGAUGUACAGACUUGAGGAGAUGCAAAGGUCCUUCUGGUUGUAGGACUUCAAUUAUGAUCUCUGAGGAUAUGCUUCAAAAUAAAGUCCCCCAUAUUGAAAAUCACUGAUCUCAUUUCAAAGGAUAAAAGCAAUCUUUACUAGAAAAGUCACACACACACACGCACACACACACAUACUGCCCCCCUGCCACACACACACAAUGGUAACUAUGGGUGGUGACAUAUGUGUUAAUUAAUGUUGUUGUAAUAAUUAUGCAAUGUAUGUGUAAUUAAUUCAUCCCAUUAUAUACCUUGAAUAUAUGCAAUUUUUAUUUAUUAAAUAUUUUCUUAAGAUCUCCUUAAAGUAUUUCUUUUAACUCUUUAACCAUUUCAGCAAUAUCAUCUUUUCUUUCCUUCAUGUUCUUAUUCUUUCCCAUUUAAUUUUACUUUUAAGAUAAUUUUUCUCUCUGUUUUUUCAGGAAUAACAAUCUUCAAGGUUCUCCCUUUUUCCUUUAAAGGCAGUGAUUGCAGAUAAAGAAGCUGAAAUUUUUGCUAUUAUGACACAAAACAGCAUGGCUUGUAAAGAAUUUUCCAGGGUCAUUUGCCUGGGAGGUGCCCUGUCCCCUCCAAUUUUGUACCAGAUCUGAAUUUUUUCUCUGUGACCUUGACAACAAUUCUUCACAUAUUCAUUCAAUACUUACUAACUUUCCUGGGUGUCAGAUAAGGCACUCAGGACACAGUGGUGACAAAAUAGAUAAUUAAGGGAAGCUUACACUGUAGUUGGGGGAAACAGUCCAUAAAUAAGUAAUUGAACAAUAAGCAAGAUACUGUCAGAAUGAAACCAGGAUCAUGAAGAAAAGGAAUCAGAAUGAUUUCAAAAAGCAUUUGAGGGCAGGGGAACCUGGGACUCUUUUAAUGGGUGCACCUAAAAGAGGGAAGACCUCACGAACAUGUAAAGUCUGAGCGGAGUCCUAGAAGAUAAGAUAAAGCAACCAUGAGAAGAUUUUCUCUGAGAGCAUGAGAAACAGGCUGCAGAGAACAUCAAGUACCUGCCUUCUUCAGACAUCUGUUUCCCCACAAAUAGCCAUCUAUUUUACCUGCAGAGAAUUUUGCAGUUAUUCUCCUUCCCUCCCCCUCUGCCUUUCCCUCUCCCUCUUCCUCUCUCUCCGUGUGUGUGUGUGUGUGUGUGUGUGUGUGUGUGUGUUUGUAUAUGUGUAACUCUAUGAAAAACACUUCAUCUGAGAAGCCAACGUGUAAGUUAAAUUUAAGGCAAAUACAGAGUAUAAUAAGAUUUGAGGGUGUAACAGAAGUAAAAUAACCUUAUUUGAUCAACAUUUUAUUUCUACCUUAAAUAAAAAGAAAAAUGUUUCUAUUUACAAUGAUUUGAUACACUUCUGUAAGUGCAUAAAAGCCUAUAAGCUAUCAAAGUUCAUUCUAUUAACUAAGGAGAAAUCUUAAGGGCUACAUCUGGAUAAUACCACAAAUUCAUAAAUUAGUAAUUUAUAAUUCCCCAUUGUAAAUGAUCACUCAGCUGAUACACAUGAGGACACCUGGCAAUCAAACUAAAUAUUCCCAUUUCCAGAUGCAAGACAUAACUAACUGGUUAAUUGCCUUUAAAUUUUUGGCCUUAUGGUUUAUUUUUUAAAAAUCAUUAGAAAAUAGAUAGAUGAUGAAAAAAAUGUGGUUCCAAAAGUUUUUCAUUUUUCUGAAAAAUACUUCCAUUAUCACUAUUUUUAGCAAAUUUAAUUUAAAAAUCUUUUUGUUUUUCUAAGCUUUGAGUUAGGGAAAAUUUUAAAAGACUAUAGGAGUUGGGGGAAUUUUAAUAUUAGCCAAAAGGGUUUGAAGCAGAGAACUAGGAUAAGAAAGGAAGUGAGGGGUGAGCAAAGGUCUCAAGCCAAAUGGGGCAGAAGAAAGAGCCCAGCUAGUUGUGACAAAUAGAGGGAGAGCAGCUGCUGACCAGCCUCAUGACCUUAUUUAUUACAUGGGGAGGAGAGUUGGCCAGUGAUGGAAAAGGAGGAAAACCAUAUCCUCCCUUGGGGACAAGGUAUAAAGAUCAAGGGAUCUGUGAAGUCUAGCAUGUCCCACAAUGAUGAUGAUGGUGAUAAUGACCACAGCUGUCCCUAGAGUGUGACACCAAAGCAAAGGGGAGGACAAACAUACUCGCACGGAAACAAGGAGCACUGUGCAGCAGACGGAAAGCCUUCAUUUGAUUUCAAGCUCUUUUGACAGGAGACCUGUGUCUAUUCCAGACUGGAAUUGUCUCUUUUCUCAUCACAUCCUUUGGAGAGAACAAAAGUUAGGGAAUAUCCAUGGGGUUUUUGUGAAGAUUCUUUGUACUGGGGAUGGGAGGUACUGAUGCAUUGGCAGCUCUUCACUUCCCCCAUGAAAAUAUACUGUAUCCCUCUCAAUAAAAAAAAAAAAAGCAGGGAGAAGAAAGUUGUGGUAGAUGUUAUUAUCAUAAUGCCAAAAUUAUUCUGAGGAAAAGAAAAACCCACUUCAGAAGUAUGCUCUUUCUUAACUGUACAAGGUAUCAGAGGAAGCAGAUGUUUUGUCUGUUACUCAAUCUCCUACUCUCCCUCUCUUUCUAUCCUUGCCAUCUUCCCCAUCACUUCUCCAUCAUAAAUUAAUGACAGCAUUGACUAAUUUUAUCAUAUUUUGAAUCAAUUUUCAUAGAUCCAUCUAUUCAUUUAAAUAAAUGUCUCUGAUAUACAUCAUCUUACAAACACCCCAAAAUGUAAAACCUUAAGCACAAGAAGAAAGGCACAUGGAGAAUUUGUGUUCCAGGA
rnacentral:lncRNA from 1 species